GCUGGAUGUGGUGGCUUACAUCUGUAAUCCCAGCUACUUUGGGAGGCUGAGGCAGGAGAAUCAUGAGUUUGAAGCCAGCCUCAG
rnacentral:sRNA from 1 species